rnacentral:rRNA from 1 species
AUUGAACGCUGGCGGAAUGCUUUACACAUGCAAGUCGAACGGUAGAGGGGGCAACCCCUUGAGAGUGGCGAACGGGUGAGUAAUAUAUCGGAACGUGCCCAGUCGUGGGGGAUAACGUAGUGAAAAUUACGCUAAUACCGCAUACGAUCUAAGGAUGAAAGCGGGGGAUCGCAAGACCUCGCGCGACUGGAGCGGCCGAUAUCAGAUUAGGUAGUUGGUAGGGUAAAGGCCUACCAAGCCAACGAUCUGUAGCUGGUCUGAGAGGACGACCAGCCACACUGGAACUGAGACACGGUCCAGACUCCUACGGGAGGCAGCAGUGGGGAAUUUUGGACAAUGGGCGAAAGCCUGAUCCAGCCAUUCCGCGUGCAGGAUGAAGGCCCUCGGGUUGUAAACUGCUUUUGUACAGAACGAAAAGGUCUCUAUUAAUACUAGGGGCUCAUGACGGUACUGUAAGAAUAAGCACCGGCUAACUACGUGCCAGCAGCCGCGGUAAUACGUAGGGUGCAAGCGUUAAUCGGAAUUACUGGGCGUAAAGCGUGCGCAGGCGGUUAUAUAAGUCAGAUGUGAAAUCCCCGGGCUCAACCUGGGAACUGCAUUUGAGACUGUAUAGCUAGAGUACGGUAGAGGGGGAUGGAAUUCCGCGUGUAGCAGUGAAAUGCGUAGAUAUGCGGAGGAACACCGAUGGCGAAGGCAAUCCCCUGGAC